GAUGAACGCUGGCGGCGUGCCUAAUACAUGCAAGUCGAGCGAACAGAUAAGGAGCUUGCUCCUUUGACGUUAGCGGCGGACGGGUGAGUAACACGUGGGUAACCUACCUAUAAGACUGGGAUAACUUCGGGAAACCGGAGCUAAUACCGGAUAAUAUUUCGAACCGCAUGGUUCGAUAGUGAAAGAUGGUUUUGCUAUCACUUAUAGAUGGACCCGCGCCGUAUUAGCUAGUUGGUAAGGUAACGGCUUACCAAGGCGACGAUACGUAGCCGACCUGAGAGGGUGAUCGGCCACACUGGAACUGAGACACGGUCCAGACUCCUACGGGAGGCAGCAGUAGGGAAUCUUCCGCAAUGGGCGAAAGCCUGACGGAGCAACGCCGCGUGAGUGAUGAAGGUCUUCGGAUCGUAAAACUCUGUUAUUAGGGAAGAACAUACGUGUAAGUAACUGUGCACGUCUUGACGGUACCUAAUCAGAAAGCCACGGCUAACUACGUGCCAGCAGCCGCGGUAAUACGUAGGUGGCAAGCGUUAUCCGGAAUUAUUGGGCGUAAAGCGCGCGUAGGCGGUUUUUUAAGUCUGAUGUGAAAGCCCACGGCUCAACCGUGGAGGGUCAUUGGAAACUGGAAAACUUGAGUGCAGAAGAGGAAAGUGGAAUUCCAUGUGUAGCGGUGAAAUGCGCAGAGAUAUGGAGGAACACCAGUGGCGAAGGCGACUUUCUGGUCUGCAACUGACGCUGAUGUGCGAAAGCGUGGGGAUCAAACAGGAUUAGAUACCCUGGUAGUCCACGCCGUAAACGAUGAGUGCUAAGUGUUAAGGGGUUUCCGCCCCUUAGUGCUGCAGCUAACGCAUUAAGCACUCCGCCUGGGGAGUACGACCGCAAGGUUGAAACUCAAAGGAAUUGACGGGGACCCGCACAAGCGGUGGAGCAUGUGGUUUAAUUCGAAGCAACGCGAAGAACCUUACCAAAUCUUGACAUCCUUUGACAACUCUAGAGAUAGAGCUUUCCCCUUCGGGGGACAAAGUGACAGGUGGUGCAUGGUUGUCGUCAGCUCGUGUCGUGAGAUGUUGGGUUAAGUCCCGCAACGAGCGCAACCCUUAAGCUUAGUUGCCAUCAUUAAGUUGGGCACUCUAAGUUGACUGCCGGUGACAAACCGGAGGAAGGUGGGGAUGACGUCAAAUCAUCAUGCCCCUUAUGAUUUGGGCUACACACGUGCUACAAUGGACAAUACAAAGGGCAGCGAAACCGCGAGGUCAAGCAAAUCACAUAAAGUUGUUCUCAGUUCGGAUUGUAGUCUGCAACUCGACUACAUGAAGCUGGAAUCGCUAGUAAUCGUAGAUCAGCAUGCUACGGUGAAUACGUUCCCGGGUCU
rnacentral:rRNA from 1 species